AAAAGACCGAGACUCUGGAUCGGCACUGAGUUCCAGUUUUCCUUUGCAAUAUCAGCAACGCUGCAACGUGAGCACCGAGCAUUAAGAUGGAACAGACGAUGCUUAGUUUAAACAACAGGCCGUACUUAACAUGUUCCUUGGGGAAUCCAAGUUGCAGGAUUAUACUCGCAUUUUCCCACAGGCAGGGGGAGAUCUGCUCCGGCCAUGCUACCCGAAAUUCAAGAAACCGUAAAUCUGUCAAGAACGAAGACAAACAACGGGGUCAUCGACAGGAUAAACAAAACUCUAUCCAGAAUGCAUGGAGCACGAGGAUCUUCAGACAAAAAAGUGAAGCAAUUUUUGGUUCACUGGUACUGCUCCAUAGUACUAAAACCCUCUUGUCCAAAUCAUGGUAAUAUUCUAAUUAUAUUCUUACAUUCUAAGACAAAUAAUUUUGGGGUGGGGCCCUUCAGAUAAGGGAUUGGAGAAUUCUUAUAUACACCCUGCAAAACUUUUAGUUCAAAUUAGAUUUGGUCGGGUCUCAAAUAAUUACAACAUUAAGUAUACAGUUAAGGGAUAAAUAGUCAUAAUUAUAUGACAAGUGUAUAGUAAUUGUUAUGCGAUUGAUUGGGUUUCAUAGGACCUAAUUUAAAUAAAGUUUCUUAUAGACUGUGCGAUGUCGUCAAUAAUUAGGUUCAUAUCAUAUUGACAUAAGUAUGAUAAUGACCGUAGAAAUUUUCGAACAUAUAUAUAUAGAGAGAGAGAAGGGAAAUUCUAGUUCGGACUCAGUUCGUCAAAUUUAAUUUGGACAAAAAUUUUUGAUGAGGGGGAGAGAAUGAUUGUCUUUGGAACUUAGAAUGUAGACUGAAGAUUAGGUCAAAUAAAAGACCACAAAUCUUGGAUCUCAAGCGCAUAACAGCAUGUUUGUUCUUUCCCGAUCACUCUUACACUUGAUGAGCUUCACCACAAAGUAGGAAAUGAAAACACUAAUAUAUAUAUAUAUAUAUAUAUAUAUAUGAAUUAACCACCUUAAUCCAUGCAAACAACAUAAGACCAAAAUUUAUGGAAUUUUGAUAUAUACUGAACUUUUUAUUCUUUUCUUACUUCAAUUAUUUACCACAACAAAAAUUAACCAAAAAAAAAAAAAUAGAUACUGUAGCAGCGUUCACCAUAGUUUUCGAACAAGAACAAGAACAAGAACUACCAAACUUAACGAACGUCGAAAAAAACAAGAAACGAGAGACUUAUGAAUUUGAUCGAACGACCAAAACACCAAAAACAUAUAACUAAUAAAAAAAGCCGUAUUUUCAUAUCGAAAAAUAUAUCCCAAAGUUAUCAUAAAAUAGCCCAUUUAUGCAUAUAGUUAUUUUUCCCCUUUCUUUUUCUUUUGGGGGGGGGGGGCAUGCAUGUUUUGGUCGUUGAGAAGGGAAGUGUAUACAUACAUACAUACAUAUAUAUAUAUGUAGGAAGAGC